rnacentral:rRNA from 1 species
CCUACGGGGUGCAGCAGUGGGGAAUAUUGGGCAAUGGGCGCAAGCCUGACCCAGCAACGCCGCGUGAAGGAAGAAGGCCCUUGGGUUGUAAACUUCUUUUGUCAGGGACGAAACAAAUGACGGUACCUGAAGAAUCAGCCACGGCUAACUACGUGCCAGCAGCCGCGGUAAUACGUAGGUGGCAAGCGUUAUCCGGAUUUACUGGGUGUAAAGGGCGUGUAGGCGGGAGAGCAAGUCAGAUGUGAAAUUCCAGGGCUCAACCCUGGAACUGCAUUUGAAACUGUUUUUCUUGAGUGAUGGAGAGGCAGGCGGAAUUCCGUGUGUAGCGGUGAAAUGCGUAGAUAUACGGAGGAACACCAGUGGCGAAGGCGGCCUGCUGGACAUUAACUGACGCUGAGGCGCGAAAGCGUGGGGAGCAAACAGGAUUAGAUACCCGUGUAGUC